GAUGAACGCUGGCGGCGUGCCUAAUACAUGCAAGUCGAGCGAACGGACGAGAAGCUUGCUUCUCUGAUGUUAGCGGCGGACGGGUGAGUAACACGUGGAUAACCUACCUAUAAGACUGGGAUAACUUCGGGAAACCGGAGCUAAUACCGGAUAAUAUUUUGAACCGCAUGGUUCAAAAGUGAAAGACGGUCUUGCUGUCACUUAUAGAUGGAUCCGCGCUGCAUUAGCUAGUUGGUAAGGUAACGGCUUACCAAGGCAACGAUGCAUAGCCGACCUGAGAGGGUGAUCGGCCACACUGGAACUGAGACACGGUCCAGACUCCUACGGGAGGCGGCAGUAGGGAAUCUUCCGCAAUGGGCGAAAGCCUGACGGAGCAACGCCGCGUGAGUGGUGAAGGUCUUCGGAUCGUAAAACUCUGUUAUUAGGGAAGAACAUAUGUGUAAGUAACUGUGCACAUCUUGACGGUACCUAAUCAGAAAGCCACGGCUAACUACGU
rnacentral:rRNA from 1 species